rnacentral:rRNA from 1 species
UACACUCCUGCGGGAGGCAGCAGUGGGGAAUUUUGGACAAUGGGCGAAAGCCUGAUCCAGCAAUGCCGCGUGAGUGAAGAAGGCCUUCGGGUUGUAAAGCUCUUUUGUCAGGGAAGAAACGGUGAGAGCUAAUAUCUCUUGCUAAUGCCGGUACCUGAAGAAUAAGCACCGGCUAACUACGUGCCAGCAGCCGCGGUAAUACGUAGGGUGCAAGCGUUAAUCGGAAUUACUGGGCGUAAAGCGUGCGCAGGCGGUUUUGUAAGUCUGAUGUGAAAUCCCCGGGCUCAACCUGGGAAUUGCAUGGGAGACUGCAAGGCUAGAAUCUGGCAGAGGGGGGUAGAAUUCCACGUGUAGCAGUGAAAUGCGUAGAUAUGUGGAGGAACACCGAUGGCGAAGGCAGCCCCCUGGGUCAAGAUUGACGCUCAUGCACGAAAGCGUGGGGAGCAAACAGGAUUAGAAACCCCUGUAGUCCCAUGA